CAGUCGAGCGGAAGGCCUUUCUNCCUCACGAGCGGAGACGGCGGGUGAGUAACACGUGGGUGAUCUGCCCUGCCCUUCGGGAUAAGCCUGGGAAACUGGGUCUAAUACCGGAUAUGACCUCCUAUCGCAUGGUGGGUGGUGGAAAGAUUUAAUCGGUGCAGGAUGGGCCCGCGGCCUAUCAGCUUGUUGGUGGGGUAAUGGCCUACCAAGGCGACGACGGGUAGCCGACCUGAGAGGGUGACCGGCCACACUGGUUACUGAGACACGGCCCAGACUCCUACGGGAGGCAGCAGUGGGGAAUAUUGCACAAUGGGCGAAAGCCUGAUGCAGCGACGCCGCGUGAGGGAUGCCGCCUUCGGGUUGUAAACCUCUUUCAGCAGGGACGAAGCGCAAGUGACGGUACCUGCAGAAGAAGCACCGGCUAACUACGUGCCAGCAGCCGCGGUAAUACGUAGGGUGCAAGCGUUGUCCGGAAUUACUGGGCGUAAAGAGUUCGUAGGCGGUUUGUCGCGUCGUUUGUGAAAACCAGCAGCUCAACUGCUGGCUUGCAGGCGAUACGGGCAGACUUGAGUACUGCAGGGGAGACUGGAAUUCCUGGUGUAGCGGUGAAAUGCGCAGAUAUCAGGAGGAACACCGGUGGCGAAGGCGGGUCUCUGGGCAGUAACUGACGCUGAGGAACGAAAGCGUGGGUAGCGAACAGGAUUAGAUACCCUGGUAGUCCACGCCGUAAACGGUGGGCGCUAGGUGUGGGUUCCUUCCACGGAAUCCGUGCCGUAGCUAACGCAUUAAGCGCCCCGCCUGGGGAGUACGGCCGCAAGGCUAAACUCAAAGGAAUUGACGGGGG
rnacentral:rRNA from 1 species